rfam:Mesitornis unicolor contig41112, whole genome shotgun sequence.
UCAUAAGUUCAUAGUUCGACACCAUGGAUCUCCAGGUGGGUCAAGAUUAUAGAGAUACACCAACCUGGAGGACUCCAUGCUGUUGAGCUGUUCACAA